GAAGUGUGUCAUUGUGGGUGUGGGCUUUAAGACCCUCUUCUUAGCUGCCUGGACGCCAGUCUUCCACUAUCAGCCUUCAGAUGACGUUGUAGAACUCUCAGCUCCUCCUGCACCAUGCCUGCCUGGAUGCUGCCAUGUUCCUGCCUUGAUGAUUAUGCACUGAGCCUCUGAACCUACUAGAAUUCAUUCCUCUCUGGAGUCCUGUACCAGCAAAUUGCAAGGUCGAGAUGAACCAGCUGUGCAAACACUCCCCCUAGUGAUGAACGGCAGACUUCCAAAACCCGAGGUUUAUCGCUCGCCGUCCCGUUCAUUUCUUUAACAUCGGGCGUGCGCACACAUGCCUUCAGAGAAGCUGGGAGAAGGAAGGAGGAAAGGAGAAGGAGUUGAAAGGAGAAGGGAAGUUUGGAUGAAGAGGAUGUCGAUUGGCUUGGAGAAUGGUGGGGUCCAGAGCGCUACUUGCUCCGCCACGAGGUUCUGUCCACUCGCCCUGCUGGAGUCCCCAAGAGGUGAUGCUAUGGAUGCGCUCAUGAGUAUUGUGACAUUUCUAGAAGAGUCAUCAGUCUUUGCUCUGGUGUCAAAAGUGAAGGUAGAGAAGCUUCCACUUCAGUCUCAGGAACCAGCGUGGCGUGAAGGCACUACUGCUUCAAUGUCCUGUGUCUCCCCAGGGUCGACGACGGUUGUAUCGCAUUUAAGGGGUUUGUGCAUGUGAGUGCAGGUGCCAUUUGAAGCCAGAAGAGGGCGUUGGAUCCUCAGAACUGGAGGAAGUUGUGAGCUACCUGAUGUGGGUGCAGUACACACUCUUAAUUCCAGAACCAUUUCUCCAGCCUGCAUGUGAUUUUUAAAGUCAUACAUUCUGUUGUUUUGACGCAUUGCGCCUAUAGAUUUGCAUGUGUUGAGCCACCACUGCAACCUCCAACCUCCAACUUGAUAGCCGUGGAUGAUCUUUUUGAUAUGCUGUUGUAUUCAAACCCUUGGUGUUUUGUUAAUAAUGUUUGCAUCUAUACUCAUCAGCAAUAUUGGUCUA
rnacentral:lncRNA from 1 species